AUAUAUAUAUAUAUAUACUAAAAGGGACUAAUAAAAGCUUCUUAGGCUAUCCACCUCAGCCAAUUAAAUCAACUAAUCAUAUGUUAUUAAAUUGCCAUGUCAUUUUGUAAAAUCCACAUCAUAUUUCUUUGAAAAAAAAUGAAACGUAGCUAAACUUCUUCGCUGCCUACACAAACCAGAAAGACAAGAGUUUCAAUCUCUUCAUAUACCUUACAAUUAAAUUCUCAUCUUCAAUAAACAUGUUAAGUUCCAAAUCCAGCAAAAUCACCACUAAAGCUCCAACUGAAUCGACCACCAGUUCCAUGGAUAAGAAAAAAGGGGUUGCUUGACUCCAUCUACAGCUUUGAAUCCUGCAAAAAGAAAGAUCCUCAUAGGGCUUGAUCUGUUAUUUAUGGCAAAGAGGAACAAUGAAGUACUCGCUGAGAGAACCAGCAACAGGAGGCAGAGUGUCGGAAACAGCAGAGCUUGGAACAGCUACGAUUUGAUUAUAGGGAUUGGUGACGAUCACACGUCCUCUCUGUGGAUUAAGGUUAUCAUCAUCAUUUACCCUUACUCAGUUUGGUUAUCUUUUACCGAUCUAGAGAUGCUUUUGCUAAACAAGCUUAACGUUCAUAUAUACAUGGCUGACUUGAAUGCAAAUGCAAAGGUAACAAAAGCAAAUAUCUGAUUUGUCCUUUUCUAGAGAUAGUUCCGAUACAAAACUUUAUGUGUUUUCUUUGAUGAAAAAUAUUGAAAGGUAUUAGCAGAUAACGUACGAGGAUGCGAGUGAUGCAUCGAACGAUGCCGUCCAGAGCAUAAGAACGUUUGCUUCAUUUUUUCCAGAGGAGAAAGGGAUGAAAAUAUAUACGAACCAAUGUGAAGGUCCUUUGAAACAACAUAUUCAGUGGUCCAAAGUUUGUCGAUAACAGCUAAACAAUAUUCACCUCAACUUUCAGGCCUUUAGGAGGUUUCAUCUCUCCUCCGAAUCCAAAUCUCCUCUGGUAGCUUCCAUGUCUAAGAAUCCAGCAAAAUCACAACCAAAGCUCCAACUGAAUCGACCACCAGUUCCAUGGAUAAGAAAAAAGGGGUUGCUUGGCUCCAUCUACAGCUUCGAAUCCUGCAAAAAGAAAGAUUCACAUAGGGCUUGAUCUGUUAUUUAUGGCAAAGAG